rnacentral:lncRNA from 1 species
GGUAAAACAAUUCAUGCUGCUGGUUUUUUAUUGCGUUUUAGCUGGACAGUUUUAUGUACUGUUUUGGCUUUAGGAAAAUGGUAUAUUCCUGGACCUUCUCCCAUUACUGCUUGGAAUUUUAUUGCUGAUGCGCAAAUUCUUCCAUAAGUAGAUAAGAGCUCCUCACAAACCUAAACACUGUAGAAGUUAACCUUGGACUUUGGUGGAAAAUCUAUUUUUUCUUUGUAAUAGUCAUUAACUGAUAAGGAAGGAGGAGAGAGCGCAGAAAAAGUUGCUGAUCAUCUUUGUCUGACCUUUUUUAUACAAUAAGAAAUACUUAGGAUUACCACUAAGGAAUCAGAAAUUACCCUUCUUCACUUAAAUCUUCCCUCAACCUCAAGAUGCUUACCAAAUAUGUACAGUUGCCAGAUGGUUAUGAAUGUAACUCAUCUUAAAGUUUAGAGCCCCUAAAAGAAUAAACAUAUCAGCGACCUGCUCCAUUGAUUUUGCAGAGGAUGUUUAGAAUGCUGAGAUGGUGGGUUAUAGAAUUCGUCAUUUGUAGUUGCCCUCUUUUCCCUCCUCCCAACGGAACAACGCUUUAUUCCAGGUUUUCCUGCAGUUUAUCGUGUUUAUCUCUUGUCGUGCAGUCAAACAACUACAAUAAACAAGCAACAGUAAGAGCUAAUAGUUUGGUUCAGGAUAAUCUUCUAGUCUGAUGAUUUAUCAGUCCUUCUUAGACUUGAGUUCUUGCUGAAAAGUCCAAAGAUUAUCACAAGUACUGGCAUUCUAACUCUAUCCCUUAUUUUCCUUGACUUUAUCAGGUGGGAACAGUUCUUCUAAUGAUUAUCACAAGUUGGCAUUCUGACAUUAUCCCUUAUUUUCCUUGACUUUAUCAGGUGGGAGCAGUUCUUCU